GUACUCACUUCGGCAGCACAUAUACUAAAAUUGGAACAAUAUGGAGAAGAUUAGCAUGGACGCUGCGCAAGGAUACAGGCAAUUUUGUAAAGGGUUCCAUGGUUUA
rnacentral:snRNA from 1 species